UCUUCUGCUAACGAAAGAUGAAACAUUUAUUUGACGGAACAGAGUAAACAACACUACACAACACUUAAAAACCACAAUCCGUCUCUAUAUUCGGCAGCAAUGUGUUUUUAGCCACAGCUCCUUCGCAAAAUGGCUAAAAAACCUGAAGAAAAUGUGCUGCAAUCCAUCUAACGUUAACGUUCAGCAGCUACAAAAUAACCAACAUGACAAACUAUGUAAUCUCCUUCGAUGUGAACUUCUUCUAAAACGACAUCAUUUGUCAAACAAACUACCGUCAUAGCCAGUCUCUACCGACACCAUCACCGUUAGCUAGCUAGCAGCUAUAGGCCACAGAAAAAUUCAGCAGCCCGUGUUCAUAAAAACACUUCUAAAGGCAACCGGAACGCUGCUUUUCGGCCCAGACGGCUGUAACAAGGCGGUUAUUUUACCGUACUCAGUUUUGUUCGACUUUUACACAGCAUAAUAUGCAGUUUUACGGCAUUGUAAAAAACGUGAUAUUGCUUACAACAGGCGCCAUGACGGAAAACCGAGCAGAAAGGAAGAGCGAGGUCUGCGCCUGCGUUAAAAAAAAAAGAAAAAAAAAAAGAAAAGAAAAAAGAAAAUCAAACUCCGAAUUAUCGAUCGAUCCAUUGAUCUUGGAUGGAUUCACAAACAAAAUUCACCCAAAGCCCUACGCCUGAACAUCUUAAAUUUUACAGUUUUGUUGAAGUAUUGAAUAUUGAUUGAGUUGGUCGAUCGGGGUCAUCGGUAACAUCAGUUUUUGAGUUAAAAUUACUGAAGAGUGAAGAGGUCGUGUUGACGUCUGCAUCAUUUUUUUCACGCCAAUCUGUGGAUCAAUGUUUGAAGGGCCAUAAUUUGAGAAAUGAUGUAGCUAGAGUCCUGAAAUUACGCCAGGUCUUCAUGGUACCCUGCUUUGAUAGAAUGAUACAAACCAGUGAUGGUGUAAACAUUUUCAUGUUUCUGCCUACUCUCAUAUACAACCAACCAUAAAACCUUAACACCCUUAACACACUCUCUCUCUGUGUGUCUCUCUCUGAAUGAAAUAUUAAAAUUGUAUGUCUAAAUAAAAUAAAAAAAAUAAAAGUUUUCUGUCGACAUCAAACAUAAAAACGCUAUCUACCUCUACACUAUAGGGGCUUUUUCUUAGAUUUACUAACCUGCACGGAAGUGUAAAUGUGACGUAAAUACAACACUGGUGCCCGUAGCCAGUUACCAUCUAGACCAGGGGCCACAUUCAGCCCAAUUUGAUCUCCAGUGGGCCGAGCCAGUAAAAUCACAACAUAAUAAAAUGACAACUCCAAAUAUUUCCCUUUGUUUUAGUGCAAAAACAGUACAUUCCCAAAAUGUUCACAGUAAAUGAAUUAUCUUUUCAAAAAACAUUAUCAACAAACUGAAAUUUCUCAAGAAAAAUAAGUAUAAUUUCAACACUAUUAUGUAAUGUGUAAAUUCAAUUCAGUUUUUGAAUUGAUUUGAAUUGACACAUUACAACUUGAAGAACACAGAGUAUCUACAAUAGCACAAAACUUUUAGUCACAAGGUCCGUGUAUUUAUCUGGCAAUUGGAUAUUCCGUUCUGAAACGGGGAUUGAAAAACAAAAAACGAGUGGUUAUUUGAUUUUCGUUUUAAACUACAAAAAUUAAAAUUGACAUACAAGGUGUUUUUCCUCUUCAUGAUCAAAAAGGGAUAUACGAAAUUUUAAAAAUGCUUUGAUUUUCGUUUUAUAUUUAGAAUAACAAAAAAAUAAAAUCAUUAAGAGACAGAAACGAAAAAAGGUCCGUUUUUUUCAUUUCCUGAGACCGGAAGUGGUCAUCAGCAAGUGUGGAGCCAAACGACAACAAAUUUCUCAGAGGGCGGAGCCAGAGAGCAGCGAUUGGUCAGCCCAUAGUUUAUAUAGAAGACAGCGCGCUAGCGUAUCGAGUCUAUGUGUCGGCAUGUCUGGUAGCAUCUCUGGCUGCUGUUGACCUUGUUUUUGGAGUAAAACACGGUGGAAGCUGAAUUAGUGAGGAUGACUCCUGCUCCUGUCAUCUCUAAGCUCCUCACACAUCUUUACCUGCACAUGAGGAAAAUCACUCCUGUAGAAUGCAGAUGUUCAGAGGGAGAUGAUGCCACAUCUGGUCCAGCUGAUGGAAGGUCUUGAAGUUCUCUGACUGGCCUCGACUGAAGAUGGUCGUCUCACUGGAUUUAAGGUUCAGAUGCUCAGUAACAAACUCCACCAAUGAGCCAACAGGGAAGUUUUAGGUUUAUUAAAUGUUGCUAUGAAGGUUUCGCUGUUUUUCUUUGUGAAUGCAAUGUGCUCCAACUGAAACUUGAAUUAGAACUUAGAAGUAAAUCCUUCCAUCCGAAAGGAUUUAGUUGCAUUAAUAACCUCAUAACAUUCUAAUUUUUAUUCAGUUCAAUUCAAUUUUUUUUAUAUAGCGCCAAUUACAGUCAAAUUGUCUCAAGAUGCUUUACAGAACCCAUAUGCCUGACCCCCAGAGCAAGCCAAAAGGCGACAGUGGCAAGGAAAACACCCUUUUAACAGGGAAAAAAACCUCGAGCAGAACCCGGCUCUAAUGUGGGGGGACCCAUCUGCCUGCUGGCCGGGCGGGUUGAGAGGGACAGAAGAGGUAGAGGGGUAGAGAUAGAGGGGUAGAGGUAGAGAUAGAGGGGUAGAGGUAGAGGGUUACAGGUAGAGGGUUACAGUUGGUGGGAGAACAACCACACAUCUGAAGCAUCCAGCUCUGGGACCAGGGACACUCGGAGAAAGGACACAGAAAGAAACAGAGUGAAUGUAAUGCAAUAAUGGUAUAUAUAGUAAAUACAUAGGUAGUUAGAGAAGGGCUCAGUGCAUCAAGAGAGGUUCCCCAGCAGUCUAGGCCUAUAGCAGCAUAACUAGGGGCAGAACUAAAGAGACGUCAAGAGGGGAAGUCAGUUUUGCAAAUGAAAACACCAGCUCACCCCGUCAGGGUCCCCCAGUCAGCCCUAACUAUAAGCUUUGUCGAAAAGGAAGGUUUUAAGCCUGGUCUUAAAAAUAGAGAGGGUGUCCGCCUCCCGAACCCAAACUGGGAGCUGGUUCCACAGGAGAGGUGCCUGAUAACUGAAGGCUCUGCCUCACAUUCUACUUUUAGAGAUUCUAGGAACAACAAGUAAGCCUGCAGUCUGAGAGCGAAGAGUUCUGCUAGGAUAAUAUGGUACUAUCAGGUCUUUAAGAUAUGAUGGAGAUUGGUUGUUAAGAGCUUUAUAUGUCAGAAGAAGGAUUUUGAAUUCUAUCCUAGAUUUAACAGGAACCCAAUGAAGAGAAACCAGUAUAGGAGAAAUAUGAUCUCUCUUGCUAACUCCCGUCAGUACUCUGGCUGCAGCAUUUUGGAUCAGCUGUAGAUGUUUCAGAGAGCUAUUGGGACAACCUGAUAAUAAGGAAUUACAGUAGUCAAGCCUAGAAGUAACAAAUGCAUGGACUAGUUUUUCUGCAUCACUCUGAGACAGGAUGUUCCUGAUUUUCACAAUAUUUCUCAGGUGGAAAAAGGAAGUCCUACAGAUUUGUUUUAUGUGUGAGUUAAAGGACAUGUCCUGGUCAAAGAUAACACCGAGGUUCCUCACAGUAGUACUGGAGGCCAAUGUAAUGUCAUCCAGAGUAACUAUAUGCUUUGAAAGCAAUUUUCUAAGAUGUUUGGGGCCAAAUACAAUGACUUCAGUCUUGUCUGAAUUAGUAGUAAGAAAUUAUAGGUCAUAGGUCAUAUUCCAGUCUUGGUUGGAAAUAGAAUCUCUGUAUUGAUUCAGGUAAAAACUGAACUUCACAGCAUGUUGAAGAAAAACAACCAGAUGAAAACUGUGAUGGUGUUGGAUUGUCAGACCGUAAUGUUGCAGCUCAAAGCAGCUUUUCUAUCUCAAUUCAUUCUGACAUUCAGCUAUGAAUCAACACAGCAGAUGGUGAUCUAUGCUGUGGAAGUCUCACAUCUCCUGAUUUAAUGGAGCUGCUUUACACUUUUUACACUGUUCAUUCACAAACACUUUAUUUAAUAAAAGUCCCAUCUAGUUUUUAUGAGGAAUGUGAUGUUUUAAUUUCUCUGUGAAUAACUGCAGUCUAAUGUAACAGCUGGAGUUGUAACAUCUGUCCUGAUAUUGAUCAUGAAAUAUUGAUCAGAAUACUUAUGGUCAGCAGUCAUCCCUGAAGUUUUACAUUAAAAUCUUUACUUGUGUUGUGAACUUUGGUAAGAAGCAGAAACGUUAGCGUUGCCAUGGAUACAUGAUUGUUAAAUUCUGUCCAUGUUUCCAUUUUGGGAAAUGCAGUCCAGUUCCAGAAUGUGGAGGAAUUUAGUCUCACAAUCACAGACAACAAAUAUUAUCUGAAAGUCAGGUUAUUGUUGUUUAUCAGCACAAUACAAAAAGUUUAAUGUUAGAAAUAUUCCAGUUAAGACUCUAGAAUAUCAUGAUUUAUGUAAAUUUACCUCAAUAAUAUGAAUGUUCAGGUUAAGAUUGUACAGUGAUGUUUAUUAUGUAAGUUUAGCUGAUUAAAGUUUGACUCUGCUCUAAAAUAUUAUUUAAAUUGACAUCAUUAUUAUAAUAUUUAGGGUCAGACCCUACAGUAUUGAGAUUAAGAAAUCAAAUAUUCUAUAAAAUGUAAAUACACUGAACUCAUUUGGAUAUAUUUAAGUGAGACUCUACAAUAUUAUUUGACACAAAUCUAUCUAAAUCAAAAUUUUAAUAAUUUUCACGCCAAUCAUUUACUGGACUGAUUUAAAUAUUAAAAUCACUCCUUUCUAAUCCUCUGCUGUACGUUCAAACCUGAGGCCUUAAAUAGAAACACACAAGUAUCUGAUUGAAGGAACUUCUGCAGAGUCCUGGUUCCAGAACAUGAUGAUAGAAUUAUAGACAAACUUUAACAAAAGCUGCCUGAGAGUUUACAGGUUUUUAUGUUGGAUUUCUUCAGUAAUUUAAUGAGAGUUAUCAGCAAUAAUCAAGUGUUCAUUUGAUGAACUUCAUUUCCUAAGACAUCCAGAAUUGGAGCUCAUAUCUUUGGCAGCUGUAAAGUUUCUGCUCCUUCAAAGUUCACAACACAAUGAAUGAAUUCCUAAAACACUCUAGAUGCUGGAGAGCGUUUGAUGCUGAAGCAGUGAUCAGUUUUUCUGUUUCUUCUCUGGAGAUGCACAAUGAGGGACGUCUGCAGCGACUGAGAAAGAGUCUCACCACAUCCUGACAUGAGGAAAAAGACUUUACUGAAGACUACAAUGAGGAAAACUAUCAGACAGCAGAUGGCUGCAUUCAAGGUGAGCUCUGAACAUUUGAUCUGGAACAGGAAUUCAAUAAUGGCAGCAUGAGCUUCAUUUCAGUCUGUAGCUGCUGAAUUCAUGGAUGAAUCAUCUGGCACUAGAGAGGAAGACCAUCAAACAUCCACGUCAGCUGAUGGAGGUCCAAGAGUCUCACCAAACAAACAACCUACAGAGUGAAGACCUCAAAUCUGAUUGGACGGCCUCCUAUUCAGCCACGUGUGAACAAAUGCCUCUAAGUUGAUUUGUUUUCUAAAAUAAAUCUCGUUUGAGUCCUAAUCUAUGCCUGUGUGUUUGCUUCUUUACACCGCUGUUAACAGUUUAGGCUGUUAGAUUGUUCCAGAUAAGACAAGUACAAGAUUCUUCAGAGCCGUUCUACCACGAGCCUGACAGGAAGAACUCCAACAGCUACUGAAUGUUCCUGUGGUUCCCUCAAGGCUACAGGAGGAGCCCUACGAGGACGAGCCGGUCCACCUGAUGGCGGCCAGUCGCUGCGGUUCAAAGCCAACACCGACUACGUGGACUUCUACUGGACCACACGGAGGCCUUCAAACCGGACCAACAAGUUCAGCGACUCCCCGACUCGUGGGUCUGAGGACGCCGCCGAGCCUCGGCCCAGCCGGCCUCCUGUCUGUGGGUGUUUGAGUGCUGAGAGGUUUGUGGAUGCAUGUGAACGUUCUGUGUUGAAACAGCAGCUUUUGACUCACUAACGCUGCUAAAAACCAAGAACUCCUUUAUUUGUGACUUCCACUAAAAAAACUGAUGAAAAUAAGUUUGCCAGGGUUCUGACUGAGAACAGAUUAUUAAAUAAUGAAAAUAAUCAUUUAAAUAUUCCUUUAAACAAUCCUUUUAGGUCCACAUUUCCUUUACACUGACUUCUUGGUAUAUGUACAAGUAUUUUGGGUGGAAUAUACCAUUAAGCCCGAUGUUCAAGGGUUCUUCUGGGAAUAUACCAUUAAACUAACCUUUUAGGUAAAUGUUCCAGGAUGUUGGGUAGAAUAUACCAUCAGAUCAACCUUUUAGGUCUACAUUGGAAGAUUUUAGAGUAGAAUUUUUUCUCCAAACCAUCCUUUAGGUCUACAUUUAAGGUGGAAUACUCCUUUACACCAAGAUUUUUUGGUCUACAUUGAAAGAUUUUAGGUGAAAUAUUCCUUUGAACGAACUUUUUAAGUUUAUGUUCAAGGAUGCUGGGUGGAAUAUACCAUCAGACCAACCUCCAAGGUCUACAGUAGUGAAUUUCAGUUGGAAUAUACCAUUAAACUCACCUUUUAGGUCUACAUUGGAGGAUUUUAGGUGGAAUUUUCUUCCAAACCGUCUUUUAGUCUACAUUAAAGGAUGUUUAGGAUGGUAUAUUCUUCCGAACCAACUUCUCAGGUCUACAUUUCAGGUGGAAUAUUCCUCCAUACUAACUUUUUUGGUCUACAUUGAAGGAUUUUUUUCUAAACCACCCUUUCGGGUCUAUAUUUGAGGUUUUUGGUGGAAUAUUCCGCCAUACUAACUUUUUUGGUCUACAUUGAAGGAUUUUUUUCUAAACCACCCUUUCGGGUCUAUAUUUGAGGUUGUAGGUGGAAUAUUCCUUUUAACCAGCCCCUCAGUGCUCUUUGAGGAUUUUGGAUGGAAUACUCGGGUAAACCAACAUUUUAGGUGCAUGUCCAAGGAUUUUUGGUGAAAUGUUCCUUUAAAGUG